rnacentral:lncRNA from 1 species
AACUUCAGCAUCCUCUACUGGCUGGGCAAUGGCUCCUUCAUUGAGCACCUCCCAGGCCGGCUGAGGGAGGGCCACACAAGGUGGCCCAGUAUCAUGUCAUUCUGGCCCAGCUCUGGGUAAGGAACCUGAAAGAAGGCAUCCAGGGAUGGGAGGAACUCCACUACCUGGGGAAGAAAGGAUUGGCUUUUCCAAUGCAACCUGAUGGAUUGAAGACAGCCCCAUCCCCUUCUCAAGAAACCCUCUCCAGCCACAGCCCAGGACCCAGAUCAGCAGGCCCAGGGGCCCCAUGAAGCCAACCACAGCAUGACCUUGACCGGAGCCUGGCUCUCAUCUACCUGGAGGGUGAAGUCUACACCACAGGCUGUGAUUGCCUCUUUCCAGCGGCUGAACCUCAAACUCAAGCUUCAUUUCUACCUAGAUUACAAUAGUUAUUAAGUC